rnacentral:rRNA from 1 species
UGGCGGACGGGUGAGUAACACGUGGGUAACCUGCCUAAGAGAAGGGGAUAACACUUGGAAACAGGUGCUAAUACCGUAUAUCUCUAAGGAUCGCAUGAUCCUUAGAUGAAAGAUGGUUCUGCUAUCGCUUUUAGAUGGACCCGCGGCGUAUUAACUAGUUGGUGGGGUAACGGCCUACCAAGGUGAUGAUACGUAGCCGAACUGAGAGGUUGAUCGGCCACAUUGGGACUGAGACACGGCCCAAACUCCUACGGGAGGCAGCAGUAGGGAAUCUUCCACAAUGGACGCAAGUCUGAUGGAGCAACGCCGCGUGAGUGAAGAAGGUCUUCGGAUCGUAAAACUCUGUUGUUAGAGAAGAACACGAGUGAGAGUAACUGUUCAUUCGAUGACGGUAUCUAACCAGCAAGUCACGGCUAACUACGUGCCAGCAGCCGCGGUAAUACGUAGGUGGCAAGCGUUGUCCGGAUUUAUUGGGCGUAAA